GACGAACGCUGGCGGCGUGCUUAACACAUGCAAGUCGAGCGGUAAGGCCCUUUCGGGGGUACACGAGCGGCGAACGGGUGAGUAACACGUGGGUGACCUGCCCUCAGCUCUGGGAUAAGCCUGGGAAACUGGGUCUAAUACCGGAUAUGACUCCAUGACGCACGUUGUGGGGUGGAAAGCCUUGUGCGGCUGAGGAUGGGCCCGCGGCCUAUCAGCUUGUUGGUGGGGUGAUGGCCUACCAAGGCGACGACGGGUAGCCGGCCUGAGAGGGCGACCGGCCACACUGGGACUGAGACACGGCCCAGACUCCUACGGGAGGCAGCAGUGGGGAAUCUUGCGCAAUGGGCGAAAGCCUGACGCAGCGACGCCGCGUGAGGGAUGACGGCCUCGG
rnacentral:rRNA from 1 species